rnacentral:rRNA from 1 species
GACGUAGGGCGCGAGCGUUGUCCGGAUUUAUUGGGCGUAAAGAGCUCGUAGGCGGCUUGUCGCGUCGUCCGUGAAAACCUGGGGCUCAACCCCAGGCUUGCGGUCGAUACGGGCAGGCUCGAGUUCGGUAGGGGAGACUGGAAUUCCUGGUGUAGCGGUGAAAUGCGCAGAUAUCAGGAGGAACACCGGUGGCGACGGCGGGUCUCUGGGCCGAUACUGACGCUGAGGAGCGAAAGCGUGGGGAGCGAACAGG